rnacentral:siRNA from 1 species
CCCGUCUUUAGAUCCAAUAAGCCC